AGCUGUUCCUGAACCCCGCUUUGCCAAAUAUUGGAUCUGCCCCUGUGAGCAGUCUAUCAUUAGACUGAAGCUGCAAGAAACAAAUAAACAAGUUCUGUGACUUGUCCUUUGGGGACUCACCCUCCUGUCUUAGUAACAUCAUUAUGGCUGUAAAUAGCUUUAGCAGACCUGGUGGGAAAAAGAGCUGCCACAGCCAGCUGUAUAGGCUAAUAAAAAAAAAAAAAAAAUGUUGUCCUGCUCCAACAAAAUCUGGUUUUAAAUCAGUUUAACUGGCACAGCCUCCUAUCUUGCAACUUGUAACUGUUUUCAACAAACUUAUAUUAGUUCCACUCAAACUAAAAUAAGUAGAUUUAAGCCUGACAAAUUGAUUCCAUAGCUUUCAGAGACAGUGUUGCAACAGUUCAGUUAAAUCAAUUUUAGUUAAACCACAGUAACUUGUGUGUUCAGAACAAGCCUAGCACUUCUAGCCUUGAAGAUAAAUACUGCAGCACAGAUAGGAUCUGAAUUGUUAAUAGAAAAGCAACCAGAGAAAAAGCCCACUUAGACCAUUUUUUUAAGCAGCGAAGCAGGAAAACCAGUACAGGCAGGGUUUGGGGGUUUUUUUGGGAGGGAGGGGUGUUAGGCAUUUUGUUUGUUUUGCUUUUUUGCAGGUCACUAUUAAAGACCUCAUAGCUUUAGAUUCUUAUGGAUUAGCUGUGCUCAUAUAUGCACAAUCUUCAGUCUGUAAAGGGAGUAUGCAAAGUGGAUGGGUGCGUGUGGAGAGUCCUGCAAAAGUACUGUAGCACUUCUCUCUUCCACUUGCUGUACCUGCACAAGACAGGAACAUCAGGGGAGCUGUUUCUGAGGAAUCUGAUACACAACUCCUAGGGACACUGUAGUUAAUACAUGGAUGGCUUCCUAGUUAUGUCCAGAAAUACAAUUUUUCUUAAAGGCUACAAAAAGCAAGUUAAUGUGCAGUCAGUCCAAAUAUUCCAUUUUAAUUCUGAAUUUCAUUUUCAUAAUUGAUGAAAAAUGUAGCAUAGUUUUUACUGUCAGUAUAACUGAACUAAUCAACUUUAUUGAGACUUUUUAAGUAGUUUCUGAAAUGUUAUUGCUUACCACUAACAAUCUAACAUACAAAUGUAUCAUAGCAUAUUAUUAUUGCAUUAUUAUUACCCUGAAAGCCAAAAGGCUUUUGGCCAGUACAAGAAGUUCUUACUUUCUAACUUGUGCUAAGCAAAUUGUGUGCUUAGCAGUGUCAAUUAUACAGAGCUAAAUCAUCCCUAGUAUAAAGCCAUUAAAAUCCAGGGAAUUACACCAGGAUGUAGCCCAUUGUGCAUACUUUGGAUGUGAAACUGGUCCUUCAGUGAUACCACAGCUUAAAAAACAGGAAGAUAAUACUAGCCUACAAGCUGAAAAAAAACCUUGGGACAAAUGCACCAUUGCAUAGUCAGUGCAAAGAAAACAGAGAAUCUUUAUGUACAGGGUUUUGCAGAAGACAAGGCUUAGGUAACACCUUACGCAUACUUUUAAUAGUUCAUCUUACACAUUGUCAUAACAUAGUUACAAAUGUGAUGUCUGCCAUUAGAGCCAUAUUUCCUAACAUUUAUGAUAAAUUAGAAAAAUAUUCCUUGUUGCUACUGGGCAUGAAGGAAAAACUAAAAAUAAGAAAAGCUUCUUGCAAAAACACAAUUAAGUAUAUUAGCACGAUCACAUUUUAAUAUUUGGACUGGGUUAGCCUGAAUAUUACAUGCAACACAGCCAGUACUUCAGCAGGAAAUGAUAUUAUAUUCACUGACAUUUGGUAGCAUGUUUUUCAGCUAGGGGUAGAAAAAAUAAAGUCUGUGACUUACUGCAUUAAUUCUCUCCACAGGAACUGCUGAAUGUAUAACAGAAAUUCAAAAGUGGUGUAAAUUUCAGAAAACAUAGGCAAAGUUAUGAAAAAUUAUAUCUUGCACCAAUUUACAUAGAAUUUUCCAAACAGAACAAAAUAAUUAAAAACAUGAUCCCUGUCACUGAAUAAUGGUUUUAUAAGUUAUAUAGGGAUUACUGAUGAAGUGAUUGUUUGAAAAAGUAGGUUUAGAGAAGGAAAUGAGUAAAAGAGCAGGAGAUAAGAACAGUAGUAGGAUGAAAUAUUCAUGGGCCACGCCCAGAUGAGUGCAGCUGUGUCUGCAGUGCUACAUACCACAUGUUCAGCUGUUCUCUGUGCUGCACAGGAGCAGCACGGGGGGAGGGGGGCAUGACUCCUGGAUAUCCAGGGAUCAAAAAACCUGUGCAUAAAAAAUAAUAAAAAAAUAAAAAUACACAGGGGUAGCGCACACCACUCAAAACUGGAACCUGGAAAGCUGGAGCCAUGCUCCAACUACCAGCCAGGCUCCAAGCAUGAUCACUACUGCUGCAGCCCCAGGAGGCCCCCAGGUAAGGCUGCUGGGGCCAACACAGUGCUGGUCCCAGCCUCCCUUACCUCACCCAGGGUGACCAGCUGCACAACUGGCACCAGAGGUCACAUGGCACAGGCAUUCCCUGGGGGCCAACUAGCAGCCGCACAAAGUGUGCCACUGCUAGUUGUCCCCAGGGAACCAAGUAUCCACACUUGUGUGGACGCAGCCAUGGAGUCUAAAGCUAGAAGCUGCUGAAGUCAUCUAGUCUGACCUACUGUAUAGGCAAACAUGCAUGUCAUUCUCAGUAUUGGCUGCAUUUAAUCAGCUUCAUAGUUGGUUUCUGUUACUGAGCACAUAAUACUUUUAACAGCAGUUUAAAAAUAGACAAUACAUUUAAUGCUGUUUCCUUGUAUGAGAAUGCAAGAUAAAGGUCCCCUCCCCCCACCCCCAUGUGGGUUGGGAGGAGCCAGGGGACUUUUUAUUGUAUUCAAGUAAAUACAGUACUUAAGAUUUAGGAAACUGAUCUCUUGGAAAUUUCCAGGUGUACAUGUUACUAGUUGGUGCUAUAUUCUGUUCCUCAAAACAAAUACUGUAUAACCAUAUUACAGUCACUACUAGUAUGUAAGCAUUUUUUUGUCUAGUUAACUCUUGGUACAUUACAAAAAGUCCAGAUUCACUACCCUCCUAAUAAUAAAGCUUUUCCUCACAUCUAACUUGAUCUAACUGAGAACAGUCUAGCUCCAUCCUCUUGGGAACCACCCUUCAGGUAGUUGAUGGUUGCUAUUAAGUCCCCCCUCAUCUUUUCUUCCAACUAAAUAAGCCCAGGUCCCUCAGCCUCUCCUCAAGCCAUGUGCCCCAGCACCCUAACUGCUUUCAUUACUUUCUGUUGGACUCUCUUCAACUUGUCUACAUCCUUUAGAGCAGAGGGGCAAAACUAAACACAGUACUCCAGCUGUGGCCUCAUCGGUGCCAAAACAAGGGAAACAAUCGCUUUCUUAGAUCUGCUGGCAAUGGUUCUACUAAUGCAGGCCAGUAUGCUGUUAGCCUUCUUGGCAACAAGGGCACAGUUGACUCAUAUUCAGCUAAUUGUCCACUGUAACCCCCAGGUCCUUUUCUAAAAAGCUCCUGCUUAGCCAGUCAGUCCCCAGCCCGUACAAGUCCAUGCAACUGUUCCGUCCAAAGUGCAAGACUUUGCACUUCUCCUUACUGAACUUCAUGAGAUUUAUUUAGGUCCAAUCCUCCAAUUUGUCAAGGUCUCUCUCAAUCCUAGCCCUACCUUUCAGCAUAUCCACUAUUCUAGCAUCUGACUCUCUUCACAAAAAGACAGUAGCAUUACUUUGCAAAUAUAGGAGUUCAACGUGCCAAAUAAGGAUAUAGUGUGGCACUCACAGGUGUGCAAUGAAAAAAAACUUCAGUCUUUUGCUCUAUAAAUGUCACACAGCAAUUAUGCAUUUGCAUGGCACUAUUGUGGAAAUGCAGGAAUUGCAAAAACAAAGAGAUUAUUUGCUAUUUGUGCAUUUUGGGACUAGCCCACCAACUGCUGAACAAUCAUUUGUUUGUCAAUAGCCUGUUUCAUUGUGGAUUAGCAGUGACCAAGCAGCCAUCUCUUGUGAGACUGUAUGCACAUCACAUAAUGGAGGGUUGUGGCAAAAUUCAGACCUAGGUUAAAUGCUUUUUAAAGAGAGAGUGAAAUUUGAAUAUGAAGUGGAAAAAAGCCUAAUGCACACCCUAAGAAAGUCAUCUAGGUUAAAUCUGGUGCCUUAACUUUCAGUUGUUUUAAUAUGCUACCCACAUCCAACUGGCUUCUGCAUACUUCCAUAUUAUCACAUUAAUACUCUAACAGUACUGCUCACUAUAUCUAAAAUGUUUUUUGCCUGCUUUGAAGACAGACAGCUGCAGUUUUAAUACGUUUAUUAAAAGCUAGUAUAUUAAAGUUAAUAUUUUAUUAACUAUGGAAGUAAAAAUGUUCACCUAUUAACUAUUAGGUAGUUUUUAGCCAUUAACUAGGGCAGUAGUUUCAAGUCAUUUAGCCUCUACCCCCUCCCCACUUCUGAAACUAUGGGAAUGUUUUAGAGAGCAAAACAUUCCAGGGUCUAACACAGGGCUGUCCAAUUUAUGAGCAUUUGGGGGCUGAACACCCCACAGGCUGUACCAGCAGGGGCCAUACCACAGCAAGCCACGGGUCCCCUGGGCUGCGCAUCAUUUGGACACCACCCCAGCUGCAGAGUACCCAAAUUGAUGCUCAUCCAUUGCAUCUUAUGCCAUGCCUGUACAGCCCCAGCCUCACUCUACACUUCACACACUACACUGUGUGCAGUGGGGUGGAAACAGUGAGUGGGAGCAGGUUGGGGUGAGCCUGGGAACUGCAUCUUAACCCUUCAUGAGUCACACAUGGCCUGCAGGCCACCAGUUGGACAGCCCUCACCUAACAGGUUGAACAAACAGAACUAUCUAAUCCAGAGCAUACAUAACACAGUUGUACAGAUACACUGGCACUUGCUUCAGAAGUGAAUCAGCUAGAUUGGCGCUAAGAACAGCCAGGGUAAUACAAUGGGAUUUGGUUAUCCAUCCAUAAAGGUAGUUGUAAUGGAUCUGGGGAAACUGAGCUCAUAAGUUUCUUGCUGCUCUGUAAUUAUUUCCCUUUCCACAAAGAAUUUACAGAAGCUUGCUAUGAAAAUCCGUAAUUAUCGUGGAAAAGCUACAUAGCAUAUUUUAUAUUGACUAUUUAGAGAGACUGUCAGCUUUAGUCAGUGUUUUAAUAAUCCAUCUGCAGAAAAACCUUAUGCUGACAGACAUUUAAAAAAAAAAAAAACUAGCCAAACCCCCCCCCCAAAAAAACUGCAGCGCUUUACUGAAAAAACACAUCAGUUUGACUCAGCUCUCCAAUGUCUGUAUCGAUUGAAUGCUUCACCAGGGGUUUUUGAUGCUUUUAUCUAAUAGCGGAUUAAAUCGCUAUUAGAUAAAGUGCCACAAAGCCCCACCAAAGUAUGCAAACUACACAGGCGCUGUGCAAGCCAGGUCAAACCGAUUCAGUGCCUCUUCUGGACGUGCGCUACACUCAGCACGGGGGCACACCAAGCUGACAGUAAAGUGCUGUUUUGUUUUGUUUUCUUCCAUGUCUGUAAGCAGCCUUAUAUUACCACAACUAAAAUAGCUGAGAACAACUUCCUUAGGUUUUCAGUUUAUUUUGAACCUGAAAUACUGUCAAAUAUACAAUACGCUACUUCCCUAGAGAUACUUAGUUUUGUCUGUUUGCUUGUUGUUACAGAGAAAGAAUCAUGAUUGUUAAGCCAUAAACAAGCAUAGGUUAGUUACAAAAAUGUAGUACUUGGAAUUAUUAUUUUUUUGUUUAAAUUAACUCCCUUUAAUGUUGAAAACGGUUUCUUUAUCAACAAUUACUACCUUUCUUUUAACCUCUUUUUGGGAAAGGUUUAAGAAAGAAUGAAUUUGAAGCUGCCCCUCAGUAAAACAUGUCCUCCUCAGUUUGACUUUACCUAAAUAUAGUUAACAAUUAAUUCCUCCUACCAUUAAAUGUAUAAAGCAAGCAGUCAGGCUGCCUUUAUUAUAUGAGCAACUUUUGGUGCUGUUGACAGGAGCAAGCCUGGAAUGUCUGGCAACAAACAAUACCUUAACUGGGUUUACUAACUACUCUCGCUGCAACAGGAAUGCUGCUAGUCCACACAUAUAGCAUUCUCCAGGGAUCAGUCCAGUCACCUGUCCUCAAGGUGUAUGCAAAAAAUCACUAUAAAAGAUGAGGCAGUUGUAGGUUCCAAAGUCAUCAUCAUACUAUUACUGCGUUUAUCUCAUUUUUCUUUUAACACAGGUUAUAUUGUCUCCUUACUCCUCAAGAACAGUAUCUGAAUGAAAGCAAGUGCGUGCAACUCAGAUAAGGCAGAAAUAUUUGACUACAGAAAGUACUUGGAGGAAUGGGCUGAGCAAUAGGUACCUGUUGUCAGAAUUGUUCACAGCCCUGGGUCACAUUCAUCUUCUCAGGUUUUCAUGCAGCAGUGGUUGGCUGUAGUAUCGUCAUCUCAGACUAGGCCAUAGGUAACUCAGUCUGCAGGCCAGAUGCAGUCCACACAGCCAUCUCAUUUGGCCUGUGGAGAUCCCCAAAGGUCCAGAAAUUUGGCAGCAGGGAAGUGAUGGCCAAUAAUAAAACCACUCUCCCCACUACCAAAUUCCCAAGUCCCAUGUGUGCCCGCUUCCCCUAUGAGACCAGUCCAUGCCCUCUCCACCUCUUCUGAAUUGGCCACGCCGCCUUCCCCCAAAUGGCCCAGGCCACAGCUCCUUCUCCCGUAGGGCCAGAUCAAGCUCCUUUCCCUGGAUCAGAACCACCAAUGAUCCAGCCCACAGAGGGACUGCCCAUCUAGCCCACCAGACAAAGAAGGUUGGGCAUCACUGGACUAGGCCAUUGGGCUGCAGCUAUACACCUGAGACAACAAUAAUGCCUUACUGUCUCCAGGCUACAAUUACUGCAUGAGGUUACCCUUGAAGUUCACCUGGAAACUCUACUGAGUCAAGUGCCUGGUGUAAAAAGACAGAAAGGUUCCUUGGGUGAAGAGAGGCAGAAUUAAAAUACACAUUAUUUGAUUUUCUGUAGGAACUUGCUUUUUCACUUCCAAAAGAAAUUCAAGUGAUAAUCCUUACACAUCCAAACGGUUUAGAAUAGUGGUGCCCAACCUUUUUGCAUGGUGGCCUGACAGGCAGUGCUUGGUCCCUCUAUGGGCCAGAUCCAAUCAGUGGUCCCAGUGCGGCACCCAGUGGUCCCAGUCUGGCAUGUAAAAUAGACACCAUCCAGCCAUGCAGAGGGGAGGCCAGCCACAACAUGGCCCCGCAGGGGAAAGGAGCUUGACCUGGCCUCACACAGGGGAAGGGGCAUGGCCCGAUCCCAACAAGGCCCCGUGGAGUGGGGAUAAGGGGAUGUGGACUGGCCGCUAUCCAGGGAAGGGAGAGGGGGCAUGGACUAGCCCACAGAGGAGAGAGGCUUAUGUGGAGCUUGGGAUUUGGGAACUUGGCAGUGGGGGAGGGUGGCUGUAUUAAUGGCCAAAUUUCUAGACCCAUGGGCCAGACGAAAUGGCAGUUGGGCACCCCUGGUCUAGAAUGUGGGUGAGACAGGUCAUUUCCAAACUAUAUUCUGCUGCACCAGGUAUAAUAAGCUGGGAGGUUCCUGGUUUCUUCCUGGAGUUGAGUACAAGACUUCUGCCAGAACUCUGUAUUUGUAACCCAACUCAAAUUCAGCCUAAAUUUGCCCUCUUCUAGUAAUAUUCCAAGACACAAUAACAAAAUGACAUGGUUUGCGGGUUCCCCCACUCAAUUUUCUUAUUUCAGACUGACAUAAUGGUUGUUUACAUCACUGUAUAUAGCAUGGAGUAAUUCCUUCAUUUUGUUCACCAAGGUAUUUCUAUGUAAAACUAGAACUUUCCAGAACAAUUAAAAUAUUUUCCUCAUUUAGAUAGAAUAUGCAACACCUUAGCAAUGUUUAUCUGAAGAAUAUUCAUCAUGUACUGUAGUACUUCAGUUUCCUUUUAUGCUGCUCUGAGGACUGACCAAGAUGUUUCAGAAGCUUAAAUUGACAGACUCAAAGCAUCACUACAUGGAUUAAAAAGAAAAUGACUAGCAAACCAGCAGCUAACAAACAACCCUGGAAGAGUUGUGACUCUUGUUGAAGAUCCUGAGCGCAGAUGAAACCAGUCACUUAGAGGGAACCACCCUGCACAACUUCGAGCUUGCCACCACCAAACCUCAUACAACUCAUCUGUCAGAAGCACACUUCAAUAACAAAUAAGUGGAACCCAACAUUCUCUAAACAUGUCAACACAUCUCUACUGCUAUCAAAACCUAUACUGCCCCACAAUGAAACCAUGACAAUACAAGGAUCUUACACAUCUGUUACUGAAUGCAGUAUCUCUCAUCUGGUGCACCAAAUGCCCUCAUUGAAGUUAUAUGGGUGACACUAAACAACCACUACAUUCCAGAAUGAGCUCAAGGAAAAAAAUGAUAAUGGAGAGAAACACCCAAUAACCUGGAGAACAUUUUUCACAGAACAAUCACUAUGUCUGAUCUUACAGUCCCUGUCAGUUUCCUUGACUACAAAACACCUUUAAAAGUUGGGCCUGGGAACAAAAAUUAGUAACUUUACUAGGCACUAAAUCCCAUAGACUAAACUCAUAUCCAUAGCUCAUUAUAAUGUCACUGAUGUCUCUUCCAUCUUCUCUGUUCUCCAUGGGAAGUAAUGACUCUUCCGUUUUGGAUGGUCUUAUUCUUGAACUAGGUUAUCUAAUUCAACUGCACACCUCGUUUCAAAUUUAUUUCUGAUAGUGUCUCUGCAGUUUACAGCAUGUUUUUAUUUAUACGUGGAGGUAAUACAAGCCACUGUUUUAUCUAGUACUUAGGUUAGGAUCUUCCUACUUCAUUCCCAGACCUAAAAAAAAGACACUUUGUGCCUGAAAGCAUUUCUAAUCUCUCCCCCAGCUAUGCAGUUGGUUCAUUUAAGGUUAUUACCAAAAAACCCUGCUUCUCACUGUGACCAAGAUAACCAGAAAACACUUACAAGCAUCACUUGUAUAACAAAACUAAGUAUGAAAAAAAGUCAGGAGAAUUCUACAGGUAUAGGAUUCUUUAUAUUUCUCUUUAUCACUCCAUUUUUGUCAUUCAUUUUUCAACUCCUUUCCUGCCUCAUAUUUCAAGAAAUUAAUAGGAAGAAUGAAAAAAAAAAAAAGAAUCAACUACUGAAUGAGUAACGAAGACACAAUAGCAGAAUUGGAAAAACACUGAAAUCAUUAGGAUCUUCUUUUAACUCAUUUAGAUUUAUUUUCCCUUUACCCCACAGAUACAAACAUCCCUUUUAGGUCAGUAAUAACUAUUUAUAUGCAACAAAAGGAGCCUUAUAAUUAAUUUGACCUGCAUUAUGUAUGCAGGUCAACAUAACAAUUAAAAGAUUUACCUGCAUUAUUUAUGCUUAAGACCAUAAUGCAGGAUGCAGUUACUGAAGUUGGGAAGAUCAAACUUUUAGGCCAAAAAUAAAGAAAACUUGGAAAGUAAAAGUGGCUUAUUUAAUAAAACCGAAGAAGAGUUGUAUAAGGGUUCAAUACUCAACCUCAGCUACCUUUCUUUUUGUUCUCUCCAUUUUUCCAUUAUCGUAGGCAUUUAUUAAAGGUCUUGUGAAGCAGAAACCAAUCAAGAAUUUGAAAGUGUUUUGAUUUAGGCAGGGCUGACUAAAAAAAAUCAGUUUGAUUGGGAAAAGAAUGGUCCAGUGGUAAAAUGUUCCUUUAAGAACACAGAAAAUGAAAAAUAAGCACUUUGUAUUCAAGUUUAUUUUCUCCACUAUUAGAAGAACAAAACCAUGUAGUGCUGCAUCUCAAAGCACCCAGAAUGCCACUAGUUUGGGAUUAUUGGUGAGAGUCCUAAAUCUCUUAGUGCUAUGCCAGUCCUUGAAAUGCACAGUCCUUUUAUAUCUCAAAUCGAAGCAGAAUAGUCUGAAAUAGGAAGGAACUAAUAGGUAUUAAAAGUGUGCAUCUUCACUUAAAACAAUGCCACCAAAUUCUUGAUUUUGGGCAGUCUGGGAUGUUGGCUUAGAAACGGUAUUUAAAGGCCUGUUUUUUGGGAAUUGGCUUACAGAUAUAGAUAUAUGCAUUAUAAGGGGUCAAGAUGGGCAACAGGGGUUAACUGGAUUUCUAAAGAAGUUGGGAGACACGCACACAGCUUCUGGUGGCCCUGGAAGUAGACGGGCUGUCUAGCACAACAAGACCAACAAGGACACAGUCUACGAAACAGCCUGGGAACCAAAAAAGUAUGUACCAUACUGUCCCAUAAAACAAGAUAAGUGACACCAGCAACAAGGCCUCAGAGAGCAGGGGGACCUAAGUCCCGGUUUGGUGGGGAACAGACCAAAUUAGGAGAAGGCCUGGAAGUGAACAUGUGACCACAGAGAGACAACCAACCAGAGAUAGCCAUGGAUGAAGAGUCAUCAGGAGUCAUCAAGGGGGAAGGAGAAUACAAAAGCAGAGACUUGAGAGUAACAAAGGGUCCCUCCCUUUGUCCUGUCCGUCCCUCCCUGUUUUCUCCCUGAGAGGGGUCCCCAUCCCUGUCCCCCAGGAAGGGUCCCUGAGGCCACCAUGAACAGAAGGCACAUACCAGCAGCCCAUGUCAUCCACAGCCCUGCUCCAGUGAGGUGCGUCUUGACAUUCCACUUCCAGACUGCUGACAACUGAGAGAGAGAGCCUCAGAGUGGAGCCUGCUUCCUGACCAGAUGUACUUUGACUCUGAUGACAGCCCUAGAAUUGGUAAAUAUAGAAUGGUUCAUUUGUUUGUUUUUUGCUUUUUUGUUCUUACUCUGUAUCAAUAAAUUCGCCUAUUAUCAACUGGCAGA